rnacentral:rRNA from 1 species
GAUGAACGCUGGCGGCGUUCCUAAUACAUGCAAGUCGAGCGAACAGACGAGGAGCUUGCUCCUUUUACGUUAGCGGCGGACGGGUGAGUAACACGUUGGUAACCUACCUAUAAGACUGGGAUAACUUCGGGAAACCGGAGCUAAUACCGGAUAAUAUUUCGAACCGCAUUGUUCGAUAGUGAAAGAUGGCUCUGCUAUCACUUAUAGAUGUACCUGCGCCGUAUUAGCUAGUUGGUAAGGUAACGGCUUACCAAGGCAACGAUACGUAGCCGACCUGAGAGGGUGAUCGGCCACACUGGAACUGAGACACGGUCCAGACUCCUACGGGAGGCAGCAGUAGGGAAUCUUCCGCAAUGGGCGAAAGCCUGACGGAGCAACGCCGCGUGAGUGAUGAAGGUCUUCGGAUCGUAAAACUCUGUUAUUAGGGAAGAACAAAAGUGGAAGUAACUGUGCACGUCUUGACGGUACCUAAUCAGAAAGCCACGGCUAACUACGUG